GAAAUAUAAAUAUAAAGCUUCUAACUUUAAAAAUAGUGAUUAAAAUCAUUAAUAUUUCU
rnacentral:tRNA from 1 species